rnacentral:rRNA from 1 species
UACGGAGGGGGCUAGCGUUGUUCGGAAUUACUGGGCGUAAAGCGCACGUAGGCGGACCGGAAAGUCAGAGGUGAAAUCCCAGGGCUCAACCUUGGAACUGCCUUUGAAACUCCCGGUCUUGAGUUCGAGAGAGGUGAGUGGAAUUCCGAGUGUAGAGGUGAAAUUCGUAGAUAUUCGGAGGAACACCAGUGGCGAAGGCGGCUCACUGGCUCGAUACUGACGCUGAGGUGCGAAAGCGUGGGGAGCAAACAGG